rnacentral:rRNA from 1 species
UGGGGAAUAUUGCACAAUGGGGGAAACCCUGAUGCAGCAACGCCGCGUGAAGGAAGACGGUUUUCGGAUUGUAAACUUCUAUCAAUAGGGAAGAAAGAAAUGACGGUACCUAAAUAAGAAGCCCCGGCUAACUACGUGCC